AGCAGCCGCGGUAAUUCCAGCUCCAAUAGCGUAUAUUAAAGUUGUUGCAGUUAAAAAGCUCGUAGUUGAAUUUCGGGAUUGACACAUCGGUCGUGCCUUAAGGGGUAUGAACUGGUGUAGUCAAUUUCUCACCUUCUGGAGAACCGCGAUGCCCUUAAUUGGGUGUCGCGGGGAACCAGGACCUUUACUUUGAAAAAAUUAGAGUGUUUAAAGCAGGCAUUUUGCUUGAAUACAUUAGCAUGGAAUAAUAAAAUAGGACGGCAUGAUUCUAUUUUGUUGGUUUCUAGGAUCACCGUAAUGAUUAAUAGGGAUAGUUGGGGGCAUUAGUAUUCAAUUGUCAGAGGUGGAAUUCUUGGAUUUAUUGAAGACUAACUACUGCGAAAGCAUUUGCCAAGGAUGUUUUCAUUAAUCAAGAACGAAAGUUAGGGGAUCGAAGACGAUCAGAUACCGUCGUAGUCUUA
rnacentral:rRNA from 1 species